rnacentral:rRNA from 1 species
CAUUUAGGCUGAGCUGUGAUGGGGCGAAGACAUUGUGCCCUCGAGUCGUUGAUUUCCCACUGCCGAGAAAAGCCCCUAGAUAGAAAACAGGCGCCCGUACCGCACACCGACACAGGCAGUCAAGAUGAGAAUUCUAAGGUGCGCGAGCGAACUCUCGUUAAGGAACUCGGCAAAAUGACCCCGUAACUUCGGGAGCAGGGGUGCUCUUUAGGGUUAACGCCCAGACGAGCCGCAGUGAAUAGGCCCAAGCGUCGGUUUAUCACAAACACAGGUCUCUGCUC